rnacentral:tRNA from 2 species
GCCGAGAUGGCGAAAUUGGUAGACGCGCGAGACUCAAAAUCUCGUUUCCUUCGGGAAGUGUGGGUUCGAUUCCCACUCUCGGCACCA